UGCCGCAGCUUCCCAAGUAGUUGGGACUACAGGCACGCGCCACCGUACCUGGCGACAUUCUUCAUAAACACAUUUCCUUUUGCUGCUUGCAGUUUGUUAUUCCACUUUCAUUUCUUUAACUCUCUUCUCAAACCACGGACAGUUAUAAAUCCCUUUCAGAAUCUUUGUAGAAAUAGUCUCACUACGUUGCCAGGUCUCAAAUGCCUGGCCUCAAGUGAUCCUACUGCCUCGGCCUCCCAAAGUGCUGGGAUUACAGGCGUGAGCACCAAACCAAGCCCUUUUCAGAAUCUUUAUAAUCCCAAUUUACCUCUUUAUCCUUCUCUAAUUAUUCUUCAAGUAUUAACAUUUAUGUUAAUGUUAACAUUAACAUAACAGAUAACAUUAACAUUAAAUGUUAUCUGUCACAUUUCCUAAAUAAGCCAGUGCUUAAAUAUGUUAUUGUUUCUCUAAUCUUUCAGCUCUUAUUUACAAUGGCCUUGGUGUUUCUGUCAUUAACUAGAGUUCUGUUUUUUUAGAUGUUAUAACCAACUAGCCAACCUACUUGAAAAUGCAGAGGAAAACAUUCAGAAGGUUCAAAGUUUACAACCUCAUAAGAUCAGCUUAUUUGUGCUGUAUGCUACAUAUAAGUGAGCUUUUAGAAUUAUUAGUAAAAAAAAAAAAAAAAAAGCAAAUAUUCAAAUUAUAUAUAAUGUUGGAGUGAACCAGUAAAGCAGCCUUAAUUUUCCCUAACUCUAUUUUCUUUAACACUUUAUUAUAAAAAUCUUCAGUAUAAAAAAAUGUUAAAUGUAGCUGAAUUUUAAAGUGGAACAUCCAUAUACCCACUACCUAGAUUCUACAGUUAGCAGUUAAUUACACCUGCUUUGCCACAUAUAUUUCCAUCUAUCCCCCAAGUAUUUUGAAUUUAACAAAGUAUUUCAAAAAAAACCUGGAAUAUUCAUACAUGAGGUAUUCUAAUUAGCUAAAGUACAGCCAGAAAACCUUGGUUGAAUACCUUUCAUAAACAAUUCUGUUUUCUUAUUUUUGAAAUUCAGGAUCUGGUCUCAGGCAUCACAUGAUUACAGGAACUUAAGAAAUAGACCUGGAUGGUUAAGGAGACUGGACUGAAUGAACAGUGACUCUAAGAGCCUUGAAAGUCUGGUAGAAAAGGGACAUUUCCAGUCUUUGAUAGUAAUCCUUUCUAAAAUUUGAGAGCAUUAAAUGCCUAGUCAUUUGAAGAGUAAGGUUAAUUUUGCUCAACUUUGGAAGGGAUUGUUGAAAGCCCUUGUUUUAUAGUUAGAAAAUCCCCUCAAAUUGUAACUUAUCCAAAGGUUUGAUGGGACCAAAAAGCCCUCUGAUUCCAUGUUGUCAAGUAAAGUGAAAUAAUAAAGAUCUUGUAUUUAAAAAUCUUACUGUUAGUAGGCAAUUGUGAGUUCAAUUUAAAUCAAACAUUUGCAAUUGGAAAUAACCAAAAAUCAUCAAAAUGGCUACAAAAAGGAAGAAAUCACUUAAAAACCCUGAAAACAAAAAGGGAAAACGUUUUCGGCUGAGGUGGGAACAUCACUUGAA
rnacentral:lncRNA from 1 species